AGAGUUUGAUCCUGGCUCAGAGUGAACGCUGGCGGCAUGCUUUACACAUGCAAGUCGAACGGCAGCACGAGUGCUUGCACUUGGUGGCGAGUGGCGAACGGGUGAGUAACACGUGGACAAUCUGCCUAUACAUCUGGGAUAAUCCUUCGAAAGGAGGUCUAAUACCGGAUGACACACUCUGGUGGCAUCACCGGAAUGUCAAAGACGGGGCAACCUGUUGUGUAUAGAUGAGUCCGCGCUCCAUUAGCUAGUUGGCGGGGUAAAAGCCCACCAAGGCUCCGAUGGAUAGCCGGCCUGAGAGGGUGAUCGGCCACACUGGGACUGAGAUACGGCCCAGACUCCUACGGGAGGCAGCAGUAGGGAAUAUUGCACAAUGGACGAAAGUCUGAUGCAGCAACGCCGCGUGGAGGAUGACACAUUUCGGUGCGUAAACUCCUUUUAUAUAGGAAGAUAAUGACGGUACUAUAUGAAUAAGCACCGGCUAACUCCGUGCCAGCAGCCGCGGUAAUACGGAGGGUGCAAGCGUUACUCGGAAUCACUGGGCGUAAAGAGCGUGUAGGCGGGUAUAUAAGUCAGAAGUGAAAUCCAAUAGCUUAACUAUUGAACUGCUUUUGAAACUGUGUACCUAGAAUGUGGGAGAGGUAGAUGGAAUUUCUGGUGUAGGGGUAAAAUCCGUAGAGAUCAGAAGGAAUACCGAUUGCGAAGGCGAUCUACUGGAACAUUAUUGACGCUGAGACGCGAAAGCGUGGGGAGCAAACAGGAUUAGAUACCCUGGUAGUCCACGCCCUAAACGAUGCACACUAGUUGUUGUGAGGCUAGACCUUGCAGUAAUGCAGUUAACACAUUAAGUGUGCCGCCUGGGGAGUACGGUCGCAAGAUUAAAACUCAAAGGAAUUGACGGGGACCCGCACAAGCGGUGGAUGAUGUGGUUUAAUUCGACGCAACGCGAAAAACCUUACCUACCCUUGACAUGCCUGGAAUCCUGCAGAGAUGCGGGGGUGCUCGCAAGAGAACCAGGACACAGGUGCUGCAUGGCCGUCGUCAGCUCGUGUCGUGAGAUGUUGGGUUAAGUCCCGCAACGAGCGCAACCCUUGCCAUUAGUUGCUACGAAAGAGCACUCUAAUGGGACUGCCGGUGACAAACCGGAGGAAGGUGGGGAUGACGUCAGGUCAUCAUGGCCCUUAUGGGUAGGGCUACACACGUCAUACAAUGGCCGGUACAGAGGGCUGCCAACCCGCGAGGGGGAGCCAAUCCCAGAAAACCGGUCGUAGUCCGGAUCGCAGUCUGCAACUCGACUGCGUGAAGUCGGAAUCGCUAGUAAUCGCGGAUCAGCAUGUCGCGGUGAAUACGUUCCCGGGUCUUGUACACACCGCCCGUCACACCAUGGGAGCGGGUUCUGCCAGAAGUAGUUAGCCUAACCGAAAGGAGGGCGAUUACCACGGCAGGGUUCGUGACUGGGGUGAAGUCGUAACAAGGUAACC
rnacentral:rRNA from 1 species